rnacentral:rRNA from 1 species
UACAGAGGUCCCAAGCGUUGUUCGGAUUCAUUGGGCGUAAAGGGUGCGUAGGCGGCGCGGUAAGUCGGGUGUGAAAUCUCGGAGCUUAACUCCGAAACUGCAUUCGAUACUGCCGUGCUUGAGGACUGGAGAGGAGACUGGAAUUUACGGUGUAGCGGUGAAAUGCGUAAAUAUCGUAAGGAAGACCAGUGGCGAAGGCGGGUCUCUGGACAGUUCCUGACGCUGAGGCACGAAGGUCAGGGGAGCAAACGGG